rnacentral:lncRNA from 10 species
AUUUGUAAACUGUCAUGGCACUGGUGGGAGUGUCCCUUAGACUGCUAAUGCAUUAUAAUUAGUGUAUAAUGAGCAGUGAGGAUGACCAGAGCUCACUUUCAUUGCCAUCUUGGUUUUGGUAGAAUUUGGCUGGCUUCUUUACUGCAACGUGUUUUAUCAGCAAGGUCUUUGUGACCUAUAUCUUGUGCUGACCUCCUAUCUCAUCCUGUGACUAAGAAUGCCUAGCCUCCUGGGAAUGCAGCCCAGUAGGUCUCAGCCUUAUUUUACCCAGCCCCUACUCAAGAUGGAGUCACACUGGUUCAAAUGCCUCUGACACGAUCAUACUAAGAUCUUAAAUAUUUUAUUUAUUUAAAUUUACUAAACAUUUCUCUUACGUUUUAAAAUUUUAUGUUAGGAAAACAUUUCUUUAUUCCUAGAUAAUAGAAAAGUUCAUCGAAGUUUUAAAAAUUAUUUUGUUGCUUUUUUUUACAUUUAAAUAUCUGAUAUAUUUAGAAUUUUUUGGACAAAACAAACAGAAGUUUAUUGACAUGUAUUCUUUAGGUGUGCAUGGGAGAUACUCAGGAAAAAAGGGGAAAUAUAAAAGAAAUGGCUUAGAAUUUAGGCUUAAAUACCAUCUUCAUCUAAAACAAAGAAAGAAGACUGGGGGGGAAGCCAGUCCUGGGGAGGUGACCAGGGAAAGCAUGAUAGAAAAGGGUGAGGUUUGUUAUGCAGAUUUAAAUUGGUGCUUUCUCCAUAGAUGAGUCUUUUGUGAUUUAGCCAUCCUUUCCUUCCUGGUACUGAAAGGAAGGUAUCAUUACAAAAGGAGAUUUUCAUUAUAGAAGUAAGUCUUCCUUGCAAAAGAGUAACUUCUACUCUGUUUCUCCGGUGUCUGCUGUUUCUCAAAAAUAGUUGGCUCAAAAUAAUGCUUAUGCCAAAGAGGCAUAUUUUGAGGUGGUAUAUUUUGGUCUCUUAAGUUAUCCAAAAGUGGAAAAACACAUUAGACAUGCUUAACACAUGAGAGAGGCUUAAAGAUGUCAUCCAGAGUGUGGAGCUAAUAAUGCUGUAAUGAUUGUUUAAUUACCAAAGAAUUGCUCAACAGUUAACUUGCUGGUACAAAGAGAGUCUAGAGAGUGGAGAGGAAUAGCCCUUUGAAUGGUGUCUAUUGCUCUCAUGGAACAGAAGGAUGCUAGGCCAUUGUGGUGUACCAACCUUAAACAAUGGGAUUCAGAAAUUAUGAUUAAGUAUAGAGUUUAUCUGAGCUUGAAGAUGGCCACCUGGGAACAUAGAUUCAAGUUGUCCUGAAUAUACACUCUCACUGUAGCAGUUACAAGUGAGUUUUUAAGGAAAAAAAGAGAUAGUUUCUAGAGUUUACAUUGAAAUAAUAUGUUAUUAAUUGGCUAUUCAUUGUUCUUUGCUUCAUAUAUUACAGGAACAUGAAGGUAAUGGGCUGGGCGGCUACUCAGGAACAAAAAUGUCUUAAAAUAAUUGCCCCUGGGAAUGGAUGCAGGGGAAGGACUGAAGUCCAAAGCUCAUGCCUCUCUGGGCCUGAUAAAUUUCGCAGACCUCACACAGCUCAGUCUGCUAUGAGCUGCUUUCCUUCCUCAGGUGGCUGUUAUCUUUUGAGAUCCUCUAUACAAUACUCAAUAGGGGUGCCUUGGGAUGCACUGAAGUGUUAAAGCCUUCUGGAUUUUUGCUCCUGCUCAUGAAACCAAAACAUUACCUGCCCACAGAAUCCUCUGAAUACCUCUCACAGCCGUGCUCAGACAAGAGAUUCAAACGCUACUAUUUCACAAGUCUGCAAUAAUGACAGCUAACAUAUUCUGUAUUCUGGAGAAAUGGCCCAACCAUUUUAGAAUAAUUAAUCUUGGGACAAAGGAAGCUUAUGGGAGGAGUGGAAUAGCCAAAUAUUUAAAAAAUAGAGGGUGGUUUUACACAUCUUGUCAUUUCCAGUGGUUAAUAAUUUAUUACCAACUCAGCCACAGCUUUGCAGAAAGAAAUUUUUUAGGAUAACCAUAUAAUUUUUUAGCAUUGACACUGCUGCUCACUUACUCUAAAUAUAAAUUCUAGGAAUUCUCCUACUUUUUCUCUUUUGCCCACCUAAAAAGAAGAGAAUGAAAUGCAAAAUGAGAUUUAAA